rnacentral:rRNA from 1 species
UUGAAAUUUAAAGAAUUUGGCGGUGUUUUAGUCCUUUCAGAGGAAUCUGUUCUGUAAUUGAUAAUACACGAUUUAUGUGACUUGAUUUUGUUAUCAGUUUAUAUACCGCCGUCAGUAAGAUUAUCUUGUGGAGAGUAUUAAAUUUCGUUAUAUUUUAUUUUAUAUUAUGUCAGGUCAAGGUGUAGCUAAUAGUUAAGUAGAAAUGGAUUACAAUAAAAAUAUUUAUAUGGAUAAUAGUUUGAAUAAGUUAUUUGAAAGUGGAUUUGAUUGUAAAUUUGGUAUAGAUUGGCUAAUUGAUUAGGGCUCUAGAAUGUGU